UCUUUCCGUCACCCCAGCGAAGGCUGGGGUCUCAGGCCCAAAACUGCGCCCUAUCGCCUGGGAUCCCAGCCUUCGCUGGGAUGACGAAUAGU
rnacentral:miRNA from 1 species